rnacentral:rRNA from 1 species
CGGUGUUUAACUGGCGUGAUGUGGGACGUCCUACCGGUGGGCUUAGCCUCGCGAGGGGCGGCCCAACUAAUAUCCCGUCGCGGUGCUCUUUACUGAGUGUCGAGUCGGGCCGGUACGUUUACUUUGAACAAAUUAGAGUGCUUAAAGCAGGCUAUCCUCGCCUGAAUACUGCGUACAUGGAAUAAUGGAAUAGGACCUCGGUUCUAUUUUGCUGGUUUUCGGAACCCCGAGGUAAUGAUUAAUAGGGACAGAUGGGGGCAUUCGUAUUGCGACGUUAGAGGUGAAAUUCUUGGAUCGUCGCAAGACGGACAGAAGCGAAAGCAUUUGCCAAAAAUGUUUUCAUUAAUCAAGAACGAAAGUUAGAGGUUCGAAGGCGAUCAGAUACCGCCCUAGUUCUAACCAUAAACGAUGCCAGCUAGCGAUCCGCCGAAGUUCCUCCGAUGACUCGGCGGGCAGCUUCCGGGAAACCAAAGCUUUUGGGUUCCGGGGGAAGUAUGGUUGCAAAGCUGAAACUUAAAGGAAUUGACGGAAGGGCACCACCAGGAGUGGAGCCUGCGGCUUAAUUUGACUCAACACGGGAAACCUCACCAGGCCCAGACACCGGAAGGAUUGACAGAUUGAUAGCUCUUUCUUGAUUCGGUGGGUGGUGGUGCAUGGCCGUUCUUAGUUGGUGGAGCGAUUUGUCUGGUUAAUUCCGAUAACGAACGAGACUCUAGCCUGCUAAAUAGGCGUACCUUAUGGUAUCGCGAAGGCCCCCGGCUUCGGCCGGUGGGUUUUUACUACCAACGUACAAACAAAUCUUCUUAGAGGGACAGGCGG